CCUGAAUCCCCCACUGUUUUCUUUUCUUAUCCCAGCAGUUAAUGGGAUUAGUCUGACUGAAUCCACCAUAUCAUUCUUUUACUAGAGUAUUCUGUGCUCGGUGCAGCCCCAACGGCUGCAGCGACUGGCGCAUGUGACGAGGAAGUGUGGAAAUGAGUCACAGAUGAGAACGCAAAUGAAAACAAUUUUUACAAGGGCCUCUGAAUAUGAAACUACACCAGUAGAGAAUGAAACAAUAGAAACAGAGAGAUGGAUUUCAGCAAGAGGAGCAUGAACUGAAGCUUGUGAAUGGCAGAGAAAAAAGAAACUGAGAAGAAUCUAGUAAACACCAUGGUUGACUUUACGCAUCCACGAGGUGUUAAGCUUCUGGACUGACUGACCGCUGCUUGUUUCUUCGACAUUCUAACUCUGCUCCAAACUACUUUCUGCCUCCCGAGCGGCUCUGUUUGGCGUGAAAACGUGGGUCCGUGUGAUUGAGUGGUCGGACGACGAACAGACGGCGUCGGUCUCGGCCUCCAACCGGCAGCGUCUGAAAGAUUAAAGCGCCCUUCCUCCGCUCCGCCGACGGCUUAAGGACAUAAUCAGUGUGAUGGCCGUCCAGAUGAAGUCACUGCUAUUUUUUCUGCUGUCGCCGCCGCCUCCUCAUACACUGACUCAUCAUAAUCAACAUGUCUUUGACUCAUCAUAUUAACAUGGCUAGUUGGCUCACGUCAUAGUAAUAACACUAAAAGCCAAUGACUCAGUGUUGAGUGAGUUUGACAGCCCAUCCUCCGACUGCUACAUCUCCCCUCUUCGUCUUUCUGCUGAUUCCCUUCCGCCCAUCGCCAUUUUCUCCUCUUUCUUCUCCUCCUCCUCAGUCCUACUUUUUCUUCCUCCCACUCUUUCUUUUUCGCUUCUUCCCAUCUCCAUCUCUCUUACACUCCUCCUCGUCUUCUUGACUUCGGGAAAAACAGAACUUCUCACUUUGAAUAGCUCUCAAAAAGCCAAACUUCGCCAAAGAAAACGAUGUGUAAAGAAACACAUGCAGAGUCCACUCCUUCUUCUUUUGUGUAAAAAGUACAGUACAGUAGGUGUGAAGUUCUUCAGCUUCUCCCCUGCUGUCCGCUGUGUUUUGAAGAAGGCAGAAUUCUCUCUUUAUGGUAUUUCUGAGCAUGAAUGUGGGAAGGCUGAAUCGAUAGCGGGCCGCUCAUCUAAACGCUGCCCUGGGCGGCAAAAUAAAUGGGUCAAACAGCGAACUGCGUCACGGCGGCCAUCAAUAGUACUCUGAUCAAUAAAAACACAACAUCGAUGCAACUUUCUGUGACGGCCACACGGGAAGCCAAACUGUACUUUCAGUGCAGCUGCUGGUGCUUAAAAUACUGUGCGUUAUUAUAACCAUCGAUCACAUUUUCCACUGUUCUGGGAGGGCACUUCUGUCCUCACACAUCCAGAUGUGCAGUUUGGAACUCUGCAGGAGGUAUAAUAUCUUGCAGGGUCUUUGUUGAUGUUGUUUUUCCGCAGCUUAAUGCUAAAUUAUAUGAGAGAUCACACAAAUGCUGAUGAAUUCACUGUAAAGACAAGAAUAUGCUUUAUAAACGCCCUUUUCCUUGUACUGUUUCCCCUCUUUGUGUUUUUAUGGACCACCUGAAGGCUGCACUAUGAAGAGACAUUAACGUGUUAUGUUGAGCCUAAAGUUGGAGUUGUCAGCUCUUCAACCUGUUAGAUCACCUUAUUAACUGACAAUAACCUGCUCCAGACGAGGUUCUGUUCAGAGUUUGGGAUUUAAAUUAAUUAAAAGAACUGUCUUCCUUUCA